GGUGAACGCUGGCGGUAGGCCUAACACAUACAAGUCGAACGGCAGCACAGUAAGAGCUUGCUCUUACGGGUGGCGAGUGGCGGACGGGUGAGGAAUACAUCGGAAUCUACUUUUUCGUGGGGGAUAACGUAGGGAAACUUACGCUAAUACCGCAUACGACCUACGGGUGAAAGCAGGGGAUCUUCGGACCUUGCGCGAUUGAAUGAGCCGAUGUCGGAUUAGCUAGUUGGCGGGGUAAAGGCCCACCAAGGCGACGAUCCGUAGCUGGUCUGAGAGGAUGAUCAGCCACACUGGAACUGAGACACGGUCCAGACUCCUACGGGAGGCAGCAGUGGGGAAUAUUGGACAAUGGGCGCAAGCCUGAUCCAGCCAUACCGCGUGGGUGAAGAAGGCCUUCGGGUUGUAAAGCCCUUUUGUUGGGAAAGAAAAGCAGCAGGUUAAUACCCCGCUGUUCUGACGGUACCCAAAGAAUAAGCACCGGCUAACUUCGUG
rnacentral:rRNA from 1 species